rnacentral:lncRNA from 1 species
CUUGCCUGGUGUCUUGGACAAUACUAACCCUUUCCUGGAUAUGUUAUGCUUGGAAUGUGCUGGAAACCUGGGGUAGUGAAAUGCACGUCAGCAAAGCAACUUGGUUCUCAACUAGAUCAUGAAUCAGCUGCAUGAUGGGUAACUCCUUGGGCAGGUAACCCUACUUCUCUGAGGCUACCUAGCAGGAUCUGUCCUUUCUACAAGUACAAAAGCCUUCAUUGAGGGCACAGAAAUCCAACAGGCACUAAAGAUGUGGCAUACACAGCUGACAACAGUCCAAGUGUGGUGGCUCACACCUACAAUCCCAGUCUGCAGGGAGGCUAAAG